rnacentral:tRNA from 1 species
GGAUUGUGGCUCAGUGGUAGAGCACUUGCCUAGCAUGUUUGGGGUUCUGGGUUCAAUCUGCAGCACCA